UGAUUUGGAUGAAGCAAGGAAAGAGCAAAAGUCAAAACUUCAAACAUCAAAGACAAGAUAAUGUUGACUAGCAAGAGACUCCAGUUACAGGCAGGAACUCAUAUAUGAAGUCCAGAAAUCAAAAGGCUGAGCAGAGUGAGACAAUGGUUCAAGAUAUAUGCUGUGACAUUAAAAAGUUAGAUUUUGCAAAGAAGGAUAUAACAAACCACCAUUAGUGCUCUUCAUAGUCUGACCAUGCUAGCCUCUGCUGUUGAACAACUUUAAGUGAUGGCUUCAAAAUGACAAUAUAAAGAGGCAGCUGCACAAUUGGAGAGGUUCAAAAAUAUGGGGAGAUUGGGAAAGAACUUAUAUCACGAGGUGAUAAUUUAGUGAAGCAUGUUGAGUUCUGAAAACAUAGGACAAACUUUUUUGAAUUCCUUGGAAGCACAGAUAUUGAGUUUGAAACAGCAUGUGAAACUUAUGGAAGGAAACUUGCAUGAGAUCACUAGGGCUAGGCUUAAGGUGAAGGAGUCCAAGGUUGCUGAAAUGGAAGAUAUUGGUAACGUUAGCAACUCUUCUGAAGAAGAAUGAGGCUAAGGCUUUGUAAACUCAAACAAUUUUGGAGUCAGGAAACUCUCUCUUAUA